rnacentral:rRNA from 1 species
ACCCAGACUCCUACGGGAGGCAGCAGUGGGGAAUAUUGCACAAUGGGGGAAACCCUGAUGCAGCGACGCCGCGUGAGUGAAGAAGUAUUUCGGUAUGUAAAGCUCUAUCAGCAGGGAAGAUAAUGACGGUACCUGACUAAGAAGCCCCGGCUAACUACGUGCCAGCAGCCGCGGUAAUACGUAGGGGGCAAGCGUUAUCCGGAUUUACUGGGUGUAAAGGGUGCGUAGGUGGCAGGGCAAGUCAGAUGUGAAAGCCCGGGGCUCAACCCCGGUACUGCAUUUGAAACUGUCCAGCUGGAGUGCAGGAGAGGUAAGCGGAAUUCCUAGUGUAGCGGUGAAAUGCGUAGAUAUUAGGAGGAACGCCAGUGGCGAAGGCGGCUUACUGGACUGUAACUGACACUGAGGCACGAAAGCGUGGGGAGCAAACAGGAUUAGAUACCCGUGUAGC